rnacentral:rRNA from 1 species
GAUGAACGCUGACAGAAUGCUUAACACAUGCAAGUCAACUUGAACUUCGGUUUGGGUGGCGGACGGGUGAGUAACGCGUAAAGAACUUGCCUCACAGAUAGGGACAACAUUUGGAAACGAAUGCUAAUACCUGAUAUUAUGAUUAUAUGGCAUCGUAUAAUUAUGAAAGCUAUAUGCGCUGUGAGAGAGCUUUGCGUCCCAUUAGCUAGUUGGAGAGGUAACGGCUCACCAAGGCGAUGAUGGGUAGCCGGCCUGAGAGGGUGAUCGGCCACAAGGGGACUGAGACACGGCCCUUACUCCUACGGGAGGCAGCAGUGGGGAAUAUUGGACAAUGGUCCAAGAGUCUGAUCCAGCAAUUCUGUGUGCACGAUGAAGUUUUUCGGAGUGUAAAGUGCUUUCAGUUGGGAAGAAAAAAAUGACGGUACCAACAGAAGAAGUGACGGCUAAAUACGUG